CCCAUGUAGCGAGGACCCGAUGCCAGGUCCAGUGGACAGACUUCAGACGUCUCUGUGUGUCCGGUCCUGUCCGGUCCUGUCUCUGGUUGCCAGGUUACAGACGCUGCUGCACCCGCACGUUUAAAAAUGUCUACACCUGAAACUCCACCACGUCUAAAGAAGCAAAAACGUUUGCAAAUGUACAGACUGGAGUGGGAAGAGUGGAACCCCUGGCAAUGGGUACAAGACAAACUGUGUUUUCUGUUGCUCAUGGACUGGCUGAAGUAAGGCAGCAUCAGGAGACAAACAUGGAGGAAAUAUGAGAACAGAGAGAACCCAACCAGCAGGUCACAGUUUAUCAUCAUCUAAUCAUCUCCUGAAGUCGAAAUGGUCCCUCUCUAUCUCCCCACACAUCCACCAACCACUGGAACACAUCUCCAAAGUUCUGCCAGGCCAGCUCAGCUUCCCCUCAGAAGAAGUGCUGCCACCUGCCAGAUGAAGGAGCCUUUUGAGAGGCAGCAGACAUCGUGAUUGGACUGUACUUUGGUCUGUUCCAAUCCAGCUUCAGCUCCAGAGACGGCAGGCGGGACGAGUCAACGGAGGCCGGGUGGACGAAGGCAUGCAGCUGAGUACAAUACAGAAAACAACAGAGGAGGAGUGCAGUGGCUCAGGGCCAGAACAAACACAGUAGCAUCGUAUGUCUCUUAGAAAACAUCAUAGUAUAGCCUUUGACUAAAGAACUACAGACUCUUCACAACCUGCUCAAACUCUUGGUACAGGACCUCACCACACGGGUCAAGAAGGUUUCUGUCUCAUUUCUACUCUGAAGAUCACCUUCUCCUGCUC
ensembl:lncRNA